GAUGAACGCUGACAGAAUGCUUAACACAUGCAAGUCAACUUGAAUUUGGGUUUUUAACUUAGGUUUGGGUGGCGGACGGGUGAGUAACGCGUAAAGAACUUGCCUCACAGCUAGGGACAACAUUUGGAAACGAAUGCUAAUACCUAAUAUUAUGAUAAUAGGGCAUCCUAUAAUUAUGAAAGCUAUAAGCGCUGUGAGAGAGCUUUGCGUCGCAUCAGCUAGUUGGAGAGGUAACGGCUCACCAAGGCGAUGAUGGGUAGCCGGCCUGAGAGGGUGAUCGGCCACGAGGGGACUGAGACACGGCCCUUACUCCUACGGGAGGCAGCAGUGGGGAAUAUUAGACAAUGGACCAAGAGUCUGAUCCAGCAAUUCUGUGUGCACGAUGAAGUUUUUCGGAAUGUAAAGUGCUUUCAGUUGGGAAGAAAGAAAUGACGGUACCAACAGAAGAAGUGACGGCUAAAUACGUG
rnacentral:rRNA from 1 species